rnacentral:rRNA from 1 species
CAGCAGCAGCCGCGGUAAUACGUAGGGUGCAAGCGUUAAUCGGAAUUACUGGGCGUAAAGCGUGCGCAGGCGGUUAUAUAAGACAGAUGUGAAAUCCCCGGGCUCAACCUGGGAACUGCAUUUGUGACUGUAUAGCUAGAGUACGGCAGAGGGGGAUGGAAUUCCGCGUGUAGCAGUGAAAUGCGUAGAUAUGCGGAGGAACACCGAUGGCGAAGGCAAUCCCCUGGGCCUGUACUGACGCUCAUGCACGAAAGCGUGGGGAGCAAACAGGAUUAGAUACCCCCGUAGUCCCUGUCUCUUAUAC